UAAUCCGCUAAUACGUGGCUUUCAGGGAAAAGGAAAACGUAUUGUUUAUUAUGCCAGCUGAUUGUACAUCGUGUGGCGAAUCUAUCUAACGAUGACGUCACUCGGGUAUUCUCGAAUUCCGUGGACCAACGUUUCCGCCAACUCUUUUCCAAAGAGAAGCACUAUUCACGGGAAGCCACUCACCUAGAUGGAGAUCAACUUCCGAAAAAACACGAGACUCCAAAAAAACCCGAAAAUGAUCGAAUCCUUUCCAACAGUGGUCAACCGUGGAGUUUUGAAUCGGCUAUUCGCAAGCGUGGUCGAGACUGUAUGAAAAAAUGUAUUGCUCAGAGGGUCCUCCACCCAGUCCAGUGUUACUCUUUAUGUUAACACCAGCAUGUUUCGGUGUUGUCUUCGAUUUAUUAGUGUCUUCUCCUUUCCAGUAGAAAUGAAGCUAGAGGUCUCCACAUCAAGAAAGUUUAGAGUAACAGCUCAUGUACAUCCAAAAUAAACUUCCGAAUGAUCUCGGAAA